rnacentral:snoRNA from 1 species
CCUGCCUCUAGAAUCCCUGCAGGUGUGGCUGCUGUGUCUCAUUUGCACCAGUAGGUGGCAGAGAGGAUACAUUCACCCUCAGCGCUCUGACCUAUGAAUAU